GAGCCAGCGUGAGACCUUGGUCCUGACCUGGGAGCUUAGACCUUGGUCCUGACCUGGGAGCUUACAAUCGCAGGAGCCGGGCAGCGUGAGACCUUGGUCCUGACCUGGGAGCUUACAAUCGCAGGAGCCGGGCAAUCGGCAACGUGGUGGACCAGAGCACAGAGAUGCUGCACGACAGGAGCUGGAGUGUGGACAUCUAGGAGAAAGCCAUUUCCCAGCAGAAAACGACUCCACUGUGAAUUGUGGAGGGGAGGAAAAGAGGCUUUGGGCACAGGGACGCCAACCCAAAGGAGCCAAAAAACACACGGGGCAGCUCUGCAUGUGACCAGCAGAGGGCGCCAUGAGCCCACCCAGCCCGGUGGCUCCGGAUCACCCUAUUCAGCAUCAAAAUCACACGUUUUCGCUCCAGCUGCUGCCCUCAGAAGCCUCCUGUGUGCUGGGGGUUUCGUGUCUUGCCCAGCAUGGCCUGUGGUCCCAGGAAUCCGAUGUGGCUGGCUGGGUCAGGAGGGUGGUGGAGGAGUCACCCCUGCCCUGCUCAUGAUGGGGACCCCAGCCCUGCUCUUGGCUGACCUGGCCCGUCUGGAAGAGAACCUGGUUUUGUCUCUGCUGCCCAGAUCCAUGGGAAAACAGGACGGGUUGACAGAUGGGUAGAUUGGUGGAUAGGUGGGUGGGCAGACGGAUGGUUAGAUGAAUGAGUGGAUGGAAUAGGUGGGUGGAUGGAUGGAUGGGUAUGUGGGUGGAUGGGGGAAUAGAUAGGUAAGAUUUUCAGUGAAGCUUGGAACUCAACUCUAAUGCUGAGAAAAGCAGGCUGAGCUCGUGAUAACGUAUCUCAGAAUGAAUGCAGAAAUCAGGAGCAGAAGGAACAAGGGAUUGCGGAACGGGGCACCAUCGUACCUUGCCAAAGUGACUAAUGUUUAUCAUUAUUAAAGUAAAAGCAGUGUAACAAUAUAUAAAUUUGGAAAUUAAAAAAAAUAUAUUUGUCAUGCAGCAACCCUGCCCCAGCCCUUCAGUUUUGAGCACUGUGUGCCCCAGCUCGUCCCAGCUACCGGCUCCCAAGGCUGCUGGGAUUUGGGCUGUGGCCACUGUCAGGAUGAAGGCAUGUCGGCCAGUCACUGGUUCUGCAGGAGUGCAUCCUCCUCUGACGCAGCCUUCCUUGUGCUGUUUCAAGCACUUCCCUAACUGUGGCUUCAGGGAGCAGCUUCAGGUGGGCUCAGUCUGGUUGACAUGUGGCUGGGUCCAGGUCUAGCCCUGGUUCAAGGCUGUCAGCACCCUGAGGCGACACCCAGCCUCUCUGAGAUGAGAGGAGGGAUUCUUCCCUUUUGCAGGCAAAGUGAAGGCCAAAUGGGGACACCCUGGGUCUCCCAUGCAUAAGGGAUGGGAACAGCAUUUUCAGCUUGCCGAGGAGGCCUGGCCUGGACCACUCUGGGGAUGCUGGGUGGUGGGGCGGGGUCUCCAGCUCUGUCCUGACCUUUGAAGUAACUGAGCGGGGGUCUCUUGAGAAAACACUGAUAAGACACUGCUGACUUUCACAAAUUAUUACAUCAUAUUAUCUGAGAGGAAAAAUCCUGAAAGAAAGAGACAAUGAAAACAGUAAAAGGAAGACAGAGAGAGAGCAGGGGAGACACAGACAGACAGAGACAGAGAAAGACAGAGAGGGAGACAGAGAGAGAAAGACAGAAGAGAGAGUAGGGGAGACAGAGAGACAGAGACAGAGAGAUGGAGAGAGACAGAGACAGCGAGACGGAGAGAGUCAGGGGCAGAGGGAGACAGAGGUGAGCAGGGUUUGGGGAGAAGGCCUCCGGUGAAAGGGGCCGCCCGCCCUGCAGGCAUCGGGCUUUAUCUCUCACUCUCUUUCCCUGACCUAGUCUCGGGGAUCACAGGGUUGCAGGCAGGGAGACACACACGGCAUUCCCAGAACAAUUGUUCCCGGCGUCCUCACCAGGUCAGACGUCUUGAAAAGAUUCCCACCUCGUUCUCUGGAGCGCAGCGGUACCCGUCCUUCCCCGAGUGCAGUGCCUGCCAGCCCGCUUCCCUCCCUGGAGACGUGGGCUCUCUCAUACCGAGGCCAGUUCUUCCCGUUUCGGAGAUGGCAUGAAAGUGACCGGAUGGCACCGGGACACGUGCUGCCGGUGUGCUCUGACCACGCUCUCUCUGUUACUCCCAUCUGGUGUUCCUACCGACGCUGUAAGGGCUUCGCUUCCCGGUGGUUUUUGUUGUUUUGUUCCGUGUCAUCCUUACCAGAUCUUCUCCGUAUCUUCUACCGAACUCACUUUUGUUCAGAGUGAAGAAAGACAAAAUGUAGAAGGUCUCAGCAGAGGCUGAGAAUGACGUGCGAGUCUCUGCACUCCUCCGCCUCACCCACUCAUGGGUCUGCAGGCUUCAGUUCCUGCCGCAGUGAACAGAAGUCAUUCCGAGAUCCGAGCAGAUCCUGUGGUUUAUGCAAAAAUGUAA
rnacentral:lncRNA from 1 species